CAGCAGUAGCCGCGGGAAUACGGAGGGUGCAAGCGUUAAUCGGAAUUACUGGGCGUAAAGCGUGCGUAGGCGGUUCGCUAAGUCUGUUGUGAAAGCCCCGGGCUCAACCUGGGAAUGGCAAUGGAUACUGGCGAGCUAGAGUGUGUCAGAGGAUGGUGGAAUUCCCGGUGUAGCGGUGAAAUGCGUAGAGAUCGGGAGGAACAUCAGUGGCGAAGGCGGCCAUCUGGGACAACACUGACGCUGAGGCACGAAAGCGUGGGGAGCAAACAGGAUUAGAUACCCCUGUAGUCCCUGUCUCUUAUAC
rnacentral:rRNA from 1 species